GAGUGGCGGACGGGUGAGUAACACGUGGGUAACCUGCCCUAAAGUGGGGGAUAACAUUUGGAAACAGAUGCUAAUACCGCAUAAAACCUAACACCGCAUGGUGUAGGGUUGAAAGAUGGUUUCGGCUAUCACUUUAGGAUGGACCCGCGGUGCAUUAGUUAGUUGGUGAGGUAAAGGCUCACCAAGACCGUGAUGCAUAGCCGACCUGAGAGGGUAAUCGGCCACACUGGGACUGAGACACGGCCCAGACUCCUACGGGAGGCAGCAGUAGGGAAUCUUCCACAAUGGACGAAAGUCUGAUGGAGCAACGCCGCGUGAGUGAAGAAGGUUUUCGGAUCGUAAAACUCUGUUGUUGGAGAAGAAUGUAUCUGAUAGUAACUGAUCAGGUAGUGACGGUAUCCAACCAGAAAGCCACGGCUAACUACGUGCCAGCAGCCGCGGUAAUACGUAGGUGGCAAGCGUUGUCCGGAUUUAUUGGGCGUAAAGCGAGCGCAGGCGGUUUCUUAAGUCUGAUGUGAAAGCCUUCGGCUCAACCGAAGAAGUGCAUCGGAAACUGGGAAACUUGAGUGCAGAAGAGGACAGUGGAACUCCAUGUAGCGGUGAAAUGCGUAGAUAUAUGGAAGAACACCAGUGGCGAAGGCGGCUGUCUGGUCUGGUCUGUAACUGACGCUGAGGCUCGAAAGCAUGGGUAGCAAACAGGAUUAGAUACCCUGGUAGUCCAUGCCGUAAACGAUGAGUGCUAGGUGUUGGAGGGUUUCCGCCCUUCAGUGCCGCAGCUAACGCAUUAAGCACUCCGCCUGGGGAGUACGACCGCAAGGUUGAAACUCAAAGGAAUUGACGGGGGCCCGCACCAGCGGUGGAGCAUGUGGUUUAAUUCGAAGCAACGCGAAGAACCUUACCAGGUCUUGACAUCCUUUGACCACUCUAGAGAUAGAGCUUUCCCUUCGGGGACAAAGUGACAGGUGGUGCAUGGUUGUCGUCAGCUCGUGUCGUGAGAUGUUGGGUUAAGUCCCGCAACGAGCGCAACCCUUAUUACUAGUUGCCAGCAUUUAGUUGGGCACUCUAGUGAGACUGCCGGUGACAAACCGGAGGAAGGUGGGGACGACGUCAAAUCAUCAUGCCCCUUAUGACCUGGGCUACACACGUGCUACAAUGGAUGGUACAACGAGUUGCGAGACCGCGAGGUUUAGCUAAUCUCUUAAAACCAUUCUCAGUUCGGAUUGUAGGCUGCAACUCGCCUACAUGAAGCCGGAAUCGCUAGUAAUCGCGGAUCAGCAUGCCGCGGUGAAUACGUUCCCGGGCCUUGUACACACCGCCCGUCACACCAUGAGAGUUUGUAACACCCAAAGCCGGUGAGGUAACCCUUCGGGGAGCCAGCCGUCUAA
rnacentral:rRNA from 1 species